UACGGGGGGGGCAAGCGUUGUUCGGAAUUACUGGGCGUAAAGGGCUCGUAGGUGGCCAAUUAAGUCAGACGUGAAAUCCCCAGGCUCAACUUGGGAACUGCGUCUGAUACUGGUUGGCUUGAAUUCGGGAGAGGGAUGCAGAAUUCCAGGUGUAGCGGUGAAAUGCGUAGAUAUCUGGAGGAAUACCGGUGGCGAAGGCGGCAUCCUGGACCGAGAUUGACACUGAUGAGCGAAAGCCAGGGGAGCAAACGGG
rnacentral:rRNA from 2 species